GAGAGGCCUUCGCGCGAAAACAAAAAGAAAAACCCCAAUUUUUUUGGUUUUCCCUCUUAUAUUUUUCCUCUGUCUCAGACCCAUACCCCAAAUGACCCCGUACCCCUCUUUCUCCUCUCAGACCCCGUACCCCUCUCUCUCCUCUCAGACCCCAAACCUCAAGCCCCAAACCCCGAACCUCUAACCUCUGUAAGUCUCCCUCUCUCUUCUCUCAGACCUCAAACCCCAAACCGCAAAUGACUGAACCCCAAACCUCUGUAAGUCUCCCUCUCUCUUCUCUUAGACCGAUCAUCCUCUCGAGCAACGGAGACCUCCGAUCAUCCUCUCGGCAGCUCCAUCCUCUCGGGCAGCUCCGUCGUAGGGGGCGUCCCCACCUCUCCGAUCAUCGUAGGCGGCAGCUGACCAGAGUGAGUUGGAAAGAACAUAAGCAAGAAUAAGUGUUGCUGCUUCCUUAAAUUUCCCAGCCUUCUCAAGAAAAUCUACCACAACUAGUAUAUCUCCUCUGAGGUAUUGUGUUGAUGCUAUGCAUUACAAAAUUGAAGAUGUGAUCAAACUUUUAGAGGAACAUGGUGCAAAGCCUCCGAUGGCUCAUCACAUGCACGUUAAAAAUGCACGCGAAGUCCCCGAGUAUGAGAUCGAUCCCAAGGAGCUUGUUUUAUCUCAGAAAAUGAGAACCAAGAAAAGAAGAAAGUGCAAGAAUUGAAGCAGGGGAUUGAAGAAUUGGAAAAUGAAUUGAGGUGAGCAUAGACUAAUAAUAAAUACCAUCUUUGGUAUAUUUUGCUACUGCUUUAAUUGUGUUUGAGUUUGACUAAUAAUGACAGAAUGCUCUCUUUGUAUAUGUUUGUGAAAUGGUUAUUGAUAUCAUAAAGCACUCUUUCAUAGCUAAAUUUAAUGGCAUAAAGCCCAUUGCAUACUCUCAGUUUCUUGAGGACCUCUGUUUUUUUCUCCUUUCUAUUAUGAGUUGAUAUUUGUUCAGUUGUAUCACAGCUGCAAUAUAUUCAAGUAACAAAAUGUAUGUUGUUGAAAGUGAAGUAUAUGCCUUUGAUAUAUUACUACAAUGGUCAGCGAGUCUCAUUAUAUUGUGAUAUGUUUCCAGGUUAUUUAAUAGUGUCUCAUGAAAAAGGCAUAUGAUGACCAAAGAUAAUUUGAGUUUAGGGAAUCAUUUGGCUAUCUUGUACCGUUGAAUAAAUGAAAAGUAUUACUGUAGGAUUUGUUAUUUGUUGUAUUAGUUAUUCUCUUGAUAGUACAUUUAGUUGUCAUCUCAUCCCAAUGAGUUUCAGGUUGACAAAAGCCAUAUGUAGUAAACUAUUUUGAAGUAUUUCUUCCCCAUUAAAGUUUAACUUAGUCUUCUUUAUGAUUAUAGAUUUUUUCUGUAGUGAGUUUGCUCAUUUAUAAGUUUUGACAGUUAGCACAGUUUUUGGGAUCAUGAAAGCUGUAAAUUCAUAACAUUUCUUUGAUAGCGUGGGUAUUACUCACAUAGUCAAGCAUAAGCAGGAGGAUCACUGUUAUAUAGAUACCGAAGAUUCAAAGAAUAUUCUCACUUUUAUUUUAGUGGCGCUAGCUUGUGUGGAAAAAAAACUUGAUUAUUUAUUUAUUGAAAGAGGAGAUGGUGGUGGCAAGUCAAGAGGCUCUGCACUUAGUUAGGUAGCCUGCAAGUCACGAGGACUGAGGCUAAAACUCUACUUGGACAUUUAAGAGAACCAAGAUAAUUAUAUAAGAAAACCAAGGCAACACGAAAUUCUUCUUCAAGUUGUUUGGUAUUAUUUUUUUUCUUGCUUGUAAGAAUUAUGUACAGUGAGGAUUUGAUGUAUUAUUUACGUCGAGAAUAAUGAAUUGUUAUUGAGAAUUAUAAUGAAUUUUCAUUGAGACUUAUUUAGUCUCAUGGGAAUUUGAUGUAUUAUUUACAUUUCAAUUGUAUGAAUAAAUGUUGUAUGUA